rnacentral:rRNA from 1 species
UACAGAGGGGGCAAGCGUUAUUCGGAAUUAUUGGGCGUAAAGAGCUCGUAGGCGGUUCGGUAAGUCGGGUGUGAAACCUCCAGGCUCAACCUGGAGACGCCACCCGAUACUGCUGUGACUAGAGUCCGGUAGGGGAGCGUGGAAUUCCUGGUGUAGCGGUGAAAUGCGCAGAUAUCAGGAGGAACACCAAUGGCGAAGGCAGCUCGCUGGGACGUUACUGACGCUGAGGAGCGAAAGCGUGGGGAGCGAACAGG